UGAACGCUGGCGGCGUGCUUAACACAUGCAAGUUGAGCGGUAAGGCCCCUUCGGGGGUACACGAGCAGCGAACGGGAGAGUAACGCGUGGGUAACCUACCCAGAAGUGGGGGAUAGCCUCGGGAAACCGGGGGUAAUACCGCAUGUGCUUUGGUCGACACAAGUCGACCUUUGAAAAGGCGGGGAUCUUCGGACCUGUCGCUUCUGGAUGGGCCCGCGUCCGAUUAGCUAGUUGGUGGGGUAAUGGCCCACCAAGGCUUCGAUCGGUAGCCGGCCUGAGAGGGUGAACGGCCUCAUUGGGACUGAGACACGGCCCAGACUCCUACGGGAGGCAGCAGUGGGGAAUUUUGGGCAAUGGGCGCAAGCCUGACCCAGCGACGCCGCGUGGAGGAUGAAGGCCUUCGGGUUGUAAACUCCUGUCAGGUGGGAAGAAAUGCCCGUCGGUUAAUAUCCGACGGGAAUUGACGGUACCACCAAAGGAAGCCCCGGCUAACUCC
rnacentral:rRNA from 1 species